rnacentral:misc_RNA from 1 species
CCGACUUUGAGGAUGGGUGGGUGCAUGCGUGCGUUGGAUAUGUUACGAUAUUUUAAGAACAAAAAGAAGAGUGCCACGCUUAUUUAACUAGGCCAUGCCAAUUAGGGAUCAGAAACGAUUGAAUCCCGAUUUUUAGUAUGAUGCAUGUGUUCGGCGUCACUCCAUGGCUUGUUGGUGAAAACUUCGUAAUUGGUGUCCAGGAGCUUCCUUCUGCAGGCAUGAUGUCAAUCGUUGCCUGCCAACGGCAUGCGGCAGUGGGAGCUAAGGAAAUGGUUGGUUUGUGUAGAACAGAGCUUCUUAAAGUUUUGCCACGAAGAGAAGCAAUGAGGGAUUCAGAAAAAGGAGAAGUAGCAGCACGAUUUCAAAAUCAAUGGAUGCUGAACAAAUUAGUCAAAGACAUAAAAACCAGGGCACAGGAAUCAGUACCUAACAAAUGUUGUGUUGCAAAGUUAGCAUUCUGCAGAGAAACGUAAUGUUGAUUAAACAGAAGAUGCUCUGUGUAGGUGAUGGAGCCAGAAAAGAAAAAUUUGCUAUUUGGAAUAAUUGGGAACAGAGAAAAACAGAGUAUCCUGAGGUGGCAUUUGAAAAUUGGAACUCAUUGUGACCCAGAAUUGUAGUCUCUGAUAGAAACUUUUUUUUUUCCUGCUUCGAUUCGUCCACAUAGUUGGUUUCAAUCCACGUAUCACCCUCAGAUGUCCGAGUCUAGUUCGAAGGAUUAGAAAAGAAUGUCUGCCAAACACAGUUUAAUCCUCUGGAUAUUUUGAAGGGAGACCUAGCUGUGUCUUAAACAGUGCAUACAAGGAAACAGGAUGCUGGGAAAGAUAGAAACAUUCGGUCAACAAGUGAAUUGCUAUCAAGUGAAAAUCCAUUUUGAGGCCUGGCGAUAUGAAUGCCCUGCAACUCUGAUCGAGGUGGAGUGUUAUAUGCUGUGUGUUUGGAAAAGUAGGAACCACCUUUUCGUCCUAGCAUCGUAGAAUUUAGCUUCCACCUCAGUAAUCCAAUGGACGACAAAAGAUGUUGUCGGUUAGAUCCGCAUUCUCUUCAAAGCUGGGGCAUGGCGGCGUUAGAUACCAAGUGACGGGCCAUGCAUUAUUAUGCAUGGCAUUGAACUAUUUCUACCUCACCGUGGCAUCACAAUUUCUAAGUUUGCAGUAAGUAAUUGUUCCAACCAGUUCAGACCAGUGCAGCAAUCUGUUAUUGGCAUCCUGGCCGAUUAUCUUUUUCUGCAUUUCUUGGUAGCAAAAGAUAAAAUCAAUAUUUGAAAAAGAAAAUAAAGAUAAAGGAAGGCCAAUAACAAAAUUAAAUCUGUGGCUGAUAAAGGUAGUAUUUUCGUCAAGUGUCGUACGAUACAAUCCCAAAAAAUGGACAUAGCGUGUUUUUUGGGAGCUGUACAAGGCUGCAGAUUUCAUAUUUACAGGGAUUGGUAUACAUGACAACUUUUUACAGGACACCAGCAGCUUUCAAAUCAGCGAGCAUUUUGACAACAUGUUCAGGCAUCGGAGGAGGAGUGGGCAGAAUGAUCACCUGUGGCCUGAAAUCCGUUUUCGUCAGCAACCCAAUUGAUGGUAAGGACAACGCCGUCCGGAGAAGUGUACGAGUAAGAUCCUUUAGAAACGGUGCCAAUAUCUUCAGGUUUUGGUCCCACUUGCUUUUGGCUGCCGCUCUCGGAAACUUUGGUUCCGUCAGCACUCUCAAAGCUUUUGCAGUGUAAAGUGGUAUGUCAGAAUUAAAAUAUCAUAAUAACAUAGUUAUCAAAUAAGAAGUAUAUUGACUUACGCGAAAGAAUAGCUGCCAUCGGCGUUCAUUUCACUGUUGGAGGAGAUAAUUUCGAUCGGUUUCUUAUCUUCUUGAGGUGCGGCAAGGGCCAUAGCCAAGAAAGUGAGAGCGACGAUCUGACACAGCCAAGAAAAGUCGCAUGAGGAUGAUAUGGCAAGACCUUAUGGAAACAUUCUCUUCUUCACCUGGAGGCAGGGCAACACAUGCAAAUUAGCGAAAGGCUAGCACGUUACAACUAGAAUUCAACCUCCAUUAAGAAAGUAUUAUCUACCCAUAAAGAAAAAGAUGAGAGACCUUCAGAAAAGAAAUUUUGCCAUUGAAAUUCUUAACAUACUUUCUAAUUGGGAAACGGGCGACUUUCGCACGAUCAUUCAUGAUCGUCACUCAUAUCAUCCCAGAAUCUGCGGAAGACUUCCAAUCGUCUGAGAACUAUCUCAUCGACUUCAUGGUUUUAUGACUAGGAUUUUAACCGUUUUUCCCCGUUGCUUUGUCAUAGAUGAUUUCGUGAUUUUCCCGAGUGAAUAUCAAACAAUCGACUCCGAAGAAAUUCCAACAAAGCAAGGGUCAUAACAUGGAGAAACGCGAGCAGCAGUGUAACGAUUACAUCCGGCGCACGGUCAGACGUGAUAAGAUCGUGCUCAUGCUGGUAAGCAGUGGAGUCGAUUCCGCCGUUUGUACUGCACUUCUACAGGGUGACGACUCGUCGCGAGUGCUGGUGGCCAGUGAAGACUCAUCAUAACGAUUCUGAAAUUGUUCGUCAGUUGCGCUUUCACGGCCGUGUAGUAGAACCUCUAGAAGACUUCCAUAAAGAUGAAGUAAGAGCCCUAGGUCACGAACCGAGUCCGCCUGCAGAAUUACUGGAACGUCACCCGUUUCCUGGUCCAGGUUUGUCAAUUCGAGUCAUUUACGCCGAAGAACCGUUCUUCGAAGCUGAUUUCGAUGAGACGCAAGUGCUGAUUCGUUUGAUGGUUUAUUAUGCCAAGGAACAUGCCUUGCUCAAUCGGAUUGAAAUCGUGACGUCGGAAGAAGAGCGCUUCUUCUAGAAGAACUGUCCAGUCACAACCAGUAUGUUGCCACGCUGCUGCCUAUUCGCACUGUCGGUGUUCAGGUACAGGAGGUUGCAGAAAAAUGUGUUGGGUAUGGCAAACAAAGCAUAGGGGAAACCGCCACAUUUUUCUGCAAUAUAUUGUACAACAGAUUCGCAAUUUAGACGUUUUCGUAAUAAUGCCGAGAUCGUAAUCAGCUCUUAUUCAAGGGAGACAAUAGGUGCCACCGUACCUACGCCAAGGUAUUUUUUUUUUCUUUUGUCUCGACAUUUUAAUGGCCAGGGGUAUGUCCUUGACGCUCGUCUUAUCGAAACGGCAUUUCAUGUCAAUCUGCGAACGUUUGACAACUCAAUAGUAUUGCAAUAGGUUAAUAGUUUUGUUUCAAGUAAAAUUGCAAUGUGUCGAAUGCCUUAUUUCGUUUACAUCGACUCUACUUCAAUAAUUUACAAUUGGAAAAAGGUUGCUUUUAAGCGACAAGAAGGUAUUGGGUGUGUCUAUGCACGAACUAUGGUUUAAUGGGUGAGCAUCGGAUUGUAGCGCUGGAUGUUUGUGCAUAAAAUCGCAUCAGAGGUAAAAGUACACAAUGUGUUUGCU